rnacentral:lncRNA from 1 species
AAAUUGAUUAAUGGUAAUAGUAAUAAUAAAGACUUUUGUACUGGCAUUAUUAAAAAUAUUUCAAUCAACACACAAUUUGUCAUGGACUUUUAUUCUAUCAUAGUUACACUGGUUAACAUCUGUUUAUAGCUCUAAAAUUUACAAUUGCAUAGCUGAAGAGAAACAAACUCUAAAUACUUCUUAUUUAGAGUAAUAAUAAUGAUAAAACUUCUUAUUACUGCAAAACACAAAUAAUCCCCUGCUGUCCUUGCUGCUUCUCCUAGAACCAUUACUAAACACAUUGGAUUCAGAUGUUUGUUUUUAUCAUAUAAGGAAACAUUUACAGUAGAAAUAAAGAAUGGUCAUAUUAGUGUUCCUGGAACAAUUUAAGCCUGAAAAUAUUAAAGUCUAAAAUCAAAUGAUUCGCGAUACGCGCUUUGAAGUCCCGAUCCGAAUCAAAAGACUCGCGAUAUGCGCUUUGAAGUCCCGAUCCGAAUCAAAUGACUCACGAUACGCGCUUUGAAGUCCCGAUCCGAAUCAAAAGACUCGCGAUACGCGCUAUGAAGUCCCGAUCCGAAUCAAAUGACUCGCGAUACGCGCUUUGAAGUCCCGAUCCGAAUCAAAAGACUCGCGAUACGCGCUUUGAAGUCCCGAUCCGAAUCAAAUGACUCGCGAUACGCGCUAUGAAGUCCCGAUCCGAAUCAAAUGAUUCGCGAUAUGAGAUUUGAUUGGAGCGCUUAGAAACAGUGAAUCAUUUUGCGACGCGGUUUAACUGAUUCGGAGUUUCGAAAAGCUCCGAUUCAGUAGGACGUGCUUUUUAAAAUCAUUACAAGCGAUGUUGAAUUUCGAAAAUGAAAGGCUGUUUUGAACUGGUAACAAUUGUCUGUUCCUCCGCUUUUCGUGCUUUCAGCAAUGUGUACACGACACUGUCAGUACUACUACCGGCUUAGCUCGCUAGUUUUGUGAGAUUAACUGAAAUAAGCGAAAAAAUAUGAUGUUUACAAAUAAAAUAUCCAUAUUUCCAUUCCGAAGAUCACGGCUUUCCACGCUGAAGAUAUCCAACACAAAUCUACGAACAUCUUCAGGACUUUUAGCACCAAGUCUGGAGACCUUUAUUAUGAAAAUCAACAUGAACCGGAAGUCAGCCACUGUCUGAUUCUGGUCUGUUUACUUCAGCCGCUGCUGAAUCCACGUGGAUAUAAGUACGUAUUUGAGUUGAAUUACUGUUAAGUUAUAAUUCUGUGUGAAAUGUAUUUAAGUUAAUGAAGUGGAUAGAUGGCAAGUCGUGCAUGAAAAUAUUUAUUUCAUGAUUAAAUCGAGCUUGAUAGUGUGAUUUUAUCUUUCAAGGUUAUUGAAAGCAUAUUGUCUGAACAAAUUUAAGACAUUUUUAGUAAACUGUAUUUUAAUAAUUAAUAAUUUUAAAGAUAUGUGGU